rnacentral:rRNA from 1 species
CGCUUUUACACAGGCAGACGGGUGAGUAACACGUGGGAAUCUACCUUUUGCUUCGGAACAACUCCGGGAAACUGGAGCUAAUACCGGAUACGCCCUUUUUGGGGAAAGAUUUAUCGGCGAGAGAUGAGCCCGCGUCGGAUUAGCUAGUUGGUGGGGUAAAGGCCUACCAAGGCGACGAUCCGUAGCUGGUCUGAGAGGAUGAUCAGCCACACUGGGACUGAGACACGGCCCAGACUCCUACGGGAGGCAGCAGUGGGGAAUAUUGGACAAUGGGGGCAACCCUGAUCCAGCCAUGCCGCGUGAGUGAUGAAGGCCCUAGGGUUGUAAAGCUCUUUCACCGGUGAAGAUAAUGACGGUAACCGGAGAAGAAGCCCCGGCUAACUUCGUGCCAGCAGCCGCGGUAAU